rnacentral:misc_RNA from 1 species
GAUGAAGAACGUAGCGAAAUGCGAUAAGUAAUGUGAAUUGCAGAAUUCAGUGAAUCAUCGAAUCUUUGAACGCACAUUGCGCCCGGUAGUAUUCUGCCGGGCAUGCCUGUUCGAGCGUCAUUUCAACCAUCAAGCCCCCCCGGGGGCCUCGGUGUUGGGGGACGGCACACCAGCCGCCCCCGAAAUGCAGUGGCGACCCCGCCGCAGCCUCCCCUGCGUAGUAGCACACACCUCGCACCGGAGCGCGGAGGCGGUCACGCCGUAAAACGCCCAACUUUCUUAGAGUUGACCUCGGAUCAGGUAGGAAUACCCGCUGAACUUAAGCAUAUCAAUAAGCGGAGGA